rnacentral:rRNA from 1 species
CGAAGGAUGCAAGCGUUAUCCGGAUUCAUUGGGUUUAAAGGGAGCGUAGGUGGACUGAUAAGUCAGUGGUGAAAUCUUCGAGCUUAACUCGGAAAUUGCCAUUGAUACUGUUGGUCUUGAGUACAGUUGCUGUGGGCGGAAUAUGACAUGUAGUGGUGAAAUACAUAGAGAUGUCAUAGAACACCGAUUGCGAAGGCAGCUCACAAAGCUGUAACUGACGCUGAGGCUCGAAAGUGCGGGGAUCAAACAGGAUUAGAUACCCUGGUAGUCCGCACCGUAAACGAUGAUUACUCGCUGCUAGAUGGCAACAUUUAGUGGCUUAGCGAAAGCGAUAAGUAAUCCACCUGGGGAGUACGCCGGCAACGGUG